rnacentral:tRNA from 1 species
GGGGCCAUAGCUCAGCUGGGAGAGCGCAACACUGGCAGUGUUGAGGUCGACGGUUCGAUCCCGUCUAGCUCCACCA